UCCAGACUCCUACGGGAGGCAGCAGUGGGGGAUAUUGCACAAUGGGGGGAACCCUGAUGCAGCGACGCCGCGUGGGUGAAGGAGCGUUUCGGCGCGUAAAGCCCUAUCGGCAGGGAAGAAGGAGGACGGUACCUGACUAAGAAGCCCCGGCUAACUACGUGCCAGCAGCCGCGGUAAUACGUAGGGGGCAAGCGUUAUCCGGAUUUACUGGGUGUAAAGGGGGCGCAGACGGCAGCGCAAGCCAGGAGUGAAAGCCCGGGGCCCAACCCCGGGACUGCUCUUGGAACUGCGCGGCUGGAGUGCAGGAGGGGCAGGCGGAAUUCCUGGUGGAGCGGUGAAAUGCGUAGAUAUCAGGAGGAACACCGGUGGCGAAGGCGGCCUGCUGGACUGCGACUGACGUUGAGGCCCGAAAGCGUGGGGAGCAAACAGGAUUAGAUACCCGCGUAC
rnacentral:rRNA from 1 species